GUGAGGAAUAUUGGUCAAUGGGCGGAAGCCUGAACCAGCCAUCCCGCGUGCAGGAAGAAUGCGCUAUGCGUUGUAAACUGCUUUUCCAGGGGGCGAACGUUCCGUACGUGUACGGGAGUGACGGUACCUUGGGAAUAAGCAUCGGCUAACUCCGUGCCAGCAGCCGCGGUAAUACGGAGGAUGCGAGCGUUAUCCGGAUUUAUUGGGUUUAAAGGGUGCGUAGGCGGAUUAAUAAGUCAGUGGUGAAAACCUGCAGCUUAACUGUGGAACUGCCGUUGAUACUGUUAGUCUUGAGUAUGGUCAAGGUAGGCGGAAUGUGUAAUGUAGCGGUGAAAUGCUUAGAUAUUACACAGAACACCGAUUGCGAAGGCAGCUUACUGGGCCAUAACUGACGCUGAUGCACGAAAGCGUGGGGAUCGAACAGGAUUAGAAACCCGAGUAGUCC
rnacentral:rRNA from 1 species